AUUGAACGCUGGCGGCACGCUUAACACAUGCAAGUCGAGCGGUAACAUGACUAGUAGCAAUACUAGUUGAUGACGAGCGGCGGACGGGUGAGUAACACGUAGGAACUUGCCCAGUAGUGGGGGACAACCAAGGGAAACUUUGGCUAAUACCGCAUAUUCUCGAGAGAGGAAAGCUGCCGCAAGGUGGCGCUAUUGGAGAGGCCUGCGUCCGAUUAGCUAGUUGGUAGGGUAAAAGCCUACCAAGGCGAGGAUCGGUAACUGGUCUGAGAAGACGACCAGUCACACUGGGACUGAGACACGGCCCAGCCUCCUACGGGAGGAAGCAGUGGGGAAUCUUGGACAAUGGGGGCAACCCUGAUCCAGCGAUGCCGCGUGAGUGAAGAAGGCCUUCGGGUCGUAAAGCUCUUUAGGCUGGGAAGAAGGUUGGUAGUUUAAGAGAUAAUCAAUUUGACUGUACCAGCAGAAUAAGCACCGGCAAACUCUGUGCCAGCAGCCGCAGUAA
rnacentral:rRNA from 1 species